AAUGAAAGGAUUCAAACCAGUUCCACCAAAGAGACCCAUCAUUCCACUACAGCCACACAGGUCUGAAGAAGAGAAGGGGAGCAAUAAGAUCAAGACUCAGAUAAAGAAGACCCAAGAGCAGUAUCAACAGAUGAUCCAGACCCGAAUCAGAAAGACCGAGGAGAUCAAACAGUCAAUGGAGCUGAGCAAAAGAAAUAAAGAAAGAGAGAUACAGGCCAGCGUUCAGGCUGCCACAAUGAUGAUAAGUGCCAUUGAGAGAAACCAGACUUUGCUCAUCAAGGAGAUCGAACAGAAGCAGGAGGUGGCUGAGAAGAGAGCAGAGGAGCUUCUCAAGGAGAUC